AACGAACGCUGGCGGCAGGCUUAACACAUGCAAGUCGAGCGCCCCGCAAGGGGAGCGGCAGACGGGUGAGUAACGCGUGGGAACGUACCUUUUGGUUCGGAACAACUCCGGGAAACUGGAGCUAAUACCGGAUAAGCCCUAACGGGGAAAGAUUUAUCGCCGAAAGAUCGGCCCGCGUCUGAUUAGCUAGUUGGUGAGGUAACGGCUCACCAAGGCGACGAUCAGUAGCUGGUCUGAGAGGAUGAUCAGCCACACUGGGACUGAGACACGGCCCAGACUCCUACGGAAGGCAGCAGUGGGGAAUAUUGGACAAUGGGCGCAAGCCUGAUCCAGCCAUGCCGCGUGAGUGAUGAAGGCCUUAGGGUUGUAAAGCUCUUUUGUCCGGGAAGAUAAUGACUGUACCGGAAGAAUAAGCCCCGGCGAACGUCG
rnacentral:rRNA from 1 species